ACGAAACCCAUCGGGCUCUCCUAUCUCUCCCUCGCCUCAGCCGCCAGGAGCGGCGGUCGAUCCGGUGCCGCGCCGGCCGCGGGCCGUCGACCGGUGCCGGCGAGAGUACGCGCCUCCCGAGUCUUCCUCUGCGCCAUUCUGCAUGGGGACGCGGUCGAAGGAGCUCGCUGCCAGGUUGACGGCCGGGGGCCCCGGCGGCGUCGGCAGACCAGCAGGACGAGGAUGCGGGGAGGGGCAGCACGAGCGGGUGGUCGCGCUCCGCGAGAUCAAGAACCAGACCUUCGGGAACCAGACCAAGAAGCUCCUCUACCUCACGGCGCGUCACCAGCCAUGCUCGUCCAUGAGCGGCCGCGGCGGGGAGCUUUGCUUGUGGCGUAGACGAUGGCGCGCAUGCCGUGCUUGCUGCUGGAGCCGUGGGGCACCUUACAUGGCUCCUCGCCCACCCCGACAACAAGAAGAGCUGGUGGGAGGAAAUGGGUGGCUACCCAGCAACUGCUUGCUGAUUGCGCCAAUUUGGGGCUUGCUAGCAAUUGUGCUUGUCCCUGAACUAUAGACCAAAAAGAGACAAUGCUAACUUAAUGAAUGUUUUGUGUGGGAAUUAGUCUGUACAUUAGCCACAACCUGAUCCACAGGGAAUAGGUGCUCGAGAUGGAGGAGGACAUCCAGAUUGAGAUUGGCGGUCGAUACCAAUGCCGUCCUGGGUGGCGUGCUCGAGAUCGAAGGCGGGGAGCUCCAGAAGGAAGACGGCGGCAUUGCCUCAGAGUAGCUGCAUGGGGAAGAGGAGGGGUGGAGGAGUCGACGCUGCAUCUCCAUCCGCCGCGAUGGGAGUGAUGGCGCCAGCGCUCGCCGUGUCCGCCGUCAGCUCCAUCUUGACGAUGUUAUCCUUGAUUGGAAGUUCGAGCGCCCUCACAACAGGACUUACUCCACCCCUUCUCCCUCCCUGUUCCCUUCCCCUGGGGGUUAAUUGAAGUAUUUAUAUUUCCGUACUAGUGUGGUUCAACUUGCUAUUGGGCAUAUGGUGUGUUUUCUGAAUUUUGGUCUGAAAGAUGAUUUUGUGAGUUCAAGCUUUUGUGCGAUUCCUGAUGUUGUGUUCCUGCCAAAUGACAUAGGUCCCGCACUGAAUUUUUCUGAUGCCAUAAUCAUGGCAGGAGCUUUGUACUGGGAAAGUAUGUCAGAAUUAUCUAGAAUUGAUGGACUUCAGUUGGUGUUUGUUUGCUGGAUGGAAUUAGAUUUGUGGAUAUAUCAGUUUAUGGGUGGCUACUUGAUUGGUGAAUUCACCUGCUAUAUGAACACUAUUUUUAAUAAAUGGUGUGCAGCUAGAGAUGUAUAAGAACAAGUUUGAGCAUAAAGAUUCAUAUAAAGAAUUGUGUAAAAAUUUGUGAUUCUUAAUAUCUUGAGAACUAGCGUAUAUUUUUUCCACUACAUUAGCCUUCAGAUUUUUCUUGGAUUUGCUUUCUGCACUAAUGUUUUCAGUGCCAUCCUUCUUCCGCGAUGCUGCUGCAUGCCAGGAUUCGCAGUGGCACCGCCGCGGCCAGCGAGGACACAAGCUCACGAGGAUUGUUGCCGCUUCGGAGGACAUGGGAGCUGCCAUAGCCAGCGAGUACGUGAGCGCACAUAGGCACCAUCGCUUUCGAGGAUGCGAGAGCCAUCUCAGCUUGAGAGAAUGUGCAUACCAUCUCCAGACAGGUCAAGGCCGGAAGAUGUCACCAUUAUCCCUAAACUGAGAUGUCUUCAGAAUUGGAGAUGUCAGGAAGGCCCCCGUACAAUUAUAGGUACUAACAUAUAAAAAUCCAAGAAUUUCCCGCUAAGCGACACUCGACAAUGCAAACUUAAAUCAUGCUAGAAUUCGUCAAAUACCAUGUUUAACCUGAAUUAGUUACUUGACAUGUGCCUAUCUUCUUCUUUUUCCAAAUUAUGUGUUCAAUUGUUCAUCAUAUUAUUGAUGGAAUUAAUUUUGCAUCGAUUGUUUGCACCACUUGAUAAUUACAACGAAAGUUAUGGAUGUCCAAUCUGGCUGGUUGUUUGUCUACUACUAAAGCUUGUACAGAUUUGCUUAAAAUUGAAUACACGUCAAAAAAAAAUCUCCCGUUGCCACACACACAUCCGUGGCAAUUGUUGAAAGCUCUGAAUGCUUCAUUCUUUGUUCUGAUGCUUAGGGAUAUUGGGUAGAAUCCAGUGUCACUCAUGGUCCUGGUUUAAUAGAGGAACUCAAUUGAUCAUGAUUUUGAAUGUCAAAUGUCACACAGGGAAGGGCCUGAACAUGAACUUACUUGGUAAUGCCCAUUUGUGUAGAUCGGUAGCCUGUGGCAUCUAUUUUGUCCAAUCGUCCGCCGCGGACAAAUUUUCUUUGCUGGGUGUUGGUGGUUCUGCUUCCAAUGUUUUUGUAGGACAUUGCUCGGUUAGUAAUGACUCUGAAUGUAAAGCGUGCUAUGAAGUACAUGAUGCGCUGUGUAUUUCCCUCAAUUACGUGAAGAAGAAUGGCAGCAAAGACUUAUGGAUGGAAGAUACACUUGGAGAAGGUCCACCCAGUCUAUCACCUUCACACAUAUGUUUUCACUCAUCGUCAAGCAUUGCACUCCCAAUGUCCAUAUAUUGUUCAAUUACCACUGAUGUCGACCUAGGUUAUAAACCAAAAUAAGACAAUCCUUAGCAUGGUUUCCCAAGCUAUGUCGCUCUUUGAGACAUGCUUGAUAAUUACAAAAACAUUGGAAGUUGAAAAACGUUUAUCCUUAAAAACUUUAUUUUAUAAGUUUAUUUGUCACAAUCAAAUAUAUGCCUCUAUAUUUGUUCAGAUUCCUGCAAUAUGCUAUAUUGAAAAUUGAUUUGUUCAAUUUGCAUGGCCUGAUGGUCAUAUGGAUAGAAGUAUUAGCAUAAAAAACCCAGAUAUUCCACGGAUGAGGGGCCUUCUUUAACUGAAUUGAGUGUACACAAUGCAAAGCCUUCGCCCAAGAGUAUGACAAUGAUGCUGAACAAGCCCUUACACAUAUGGCAUUUAAAUAAACUGAUCGUGAACUGAAGCUAUGUGAACGAUGGGAUAUUUUUGUUCGUAGUAAUAAAAAUAUUAUUGUAGUAACUUACAUUGAGGUUACACACACAGGGAUAGAGAGAGAGAGGACAUGACGAAGGUUAAGCGGUUUGUAGU